rnacentral:rRNA from 1 species
AACGUAGGAGGCAAACGUUAUCCGGAUUUACUGGGCGUAAAGCGCAUGUAGGUGGUUUGGUAAGUAGGGCGUGAAAGCUCCUGGCUCAACUGGGAGAGGUCGUUCUAAACUGCCGAGCUAGAGGAUGGUAGAGGGAGGUGGAAUUCCGGGUGUAGCGGUGGAAUGCGCAGAUAUCCGGAGGAACACCAGUGGCGAAAGCGGCCUCCUGGACCACUCCUGACACUCAGACGCGAAAGCUAGGGUAGCAAACGGGAUUAGAGACCCCGGUAGUCCUAGCCGUAAACGAUGUAGACUUGGCGUCGGUGGUUUAAUAUCCAUCGGUGUCGUAGCUAACGCGAUAAGUCUACCGCCUGGGGACUACGGCCGCAAGGUUAAA